GGCCUUGACAUGCAGAGAACUUUCCAGAGAUGGAUUGGUGGCCUUCGGGAACUCUGACACAGGUGCUGCAUGGCUGUCGUCGGCUCGUGUCGUGAGAUGUUGGGUUAAGUCCGUAACGAGCGCAACCCUUGUCCUUAGUUACCAGCACGUUAUGGUGGGCACUCUAAGGAGACUGCCGGUGACAAACCGGAGGAAGGUGGGGAUGACGUCAAGUCAUCAUGGCCCUUACGGCCUGGGCUACACACGUGCUACAAUGGUCGGUACAAAGGGUUGCCAAGCCGCGAGGUGGAGCUAAUCCCAUAAAACCGAUCGUAGUCCGGAUCGCAGUCUGCAACUCGACUGCGUGAAGUCGGAAUCGCUAGUAAUCGUGAAUCAGAAUGUCACGGUGAAUACGUUCCCGGGCCUU
rnacentral:rRNA from 1 species